rnacentral:ncRNA from 1 species
CAUAGGUUUGGUCCCAGCCUUAUUAUUAGUUAUCAGUAAGAUUACACAUGCAAGUAACCGCACACCAGUGAGAAUGCCCUCUAGAUCUUAUUGAUCAACAGGAGCAGGCAUCAAGCACGCCAGCCGGCAGCUCACCACGCCUUGCUAAACCACACCCCCACGGGAUACAGCAGUGACAAAACUUAAGCAAUAAACGAAAGUUUGACUAAGCUAUACUGACAAAUUAGGGCUGGUCAAUUUCGUGCCAGCCACCGCGGUCAUACGAUUAACCCAAACUAAUAAAACACGGCGUAAAGUGUGUUUAAGACACCCAACAAUAAAGUUAAAUUUUAACCAAGUUGUAGAACACUUCAGCUAAAACAAAAAUAACCCACGAAAGUGACUUUAAUAUCCUGAAAACACGACAGCCAAGACCCAAACUGGGAUUAGAUACCCCACUAUGCCUGGCCAUAAACAUAAGUAAUUCCUGAACAAUCUUACUCGCCAGAGAACUACAAGCAACAGCUUAAAACUCAAAGGACUUGGCGGUGCUUUACACCCCUCUAGAGGAGCCUGUUCUAUAAUCGAUAAACCCCGAUAUACCUUACCAUCCCUUGCUAAUUCAAUCUAUAUACCGCCAUCCUCAGCAAACCCUAUCAAGGUAAUAAAGUAAGCACAAGCAUUUGACAUAAAAACGUUAGGUCAAGGUGUAGUCUAUGAGAUGGAAAGAAAUGGGCUACAUUUUCUUAUAACAGAAUAACAUUUUACAGCAACCUUUAUGAAACAAAAGGUCAAAGGAGGAUUUAGUAGUAAGUUAAGAAUAGAGAGCUUAACUGAAUGAGGCCAUAAAGCACGCACACACCGCCCGUCACCCUCCUCAACUCUCAAUUACUAAUACUUUAAUAACAAAAUGUCCUAACUACAAGAGGAGAUAAGUCGUAACAAGGUAAGCAUACUGGAAAGUGUGCUUGGAACACU